rnacentral:rRNA from 1 species
CCUACGGGGGGCAGCAGUGGGGAAUAUUGGACAAUGGGCGCAAGCCUGAUCCAGCAAUGCCGCGUGUGUGAAGAAGGCCUUCGGGUUGUAAAGCACCAGACAUCUACUAACGGUACCUGAGGAAUAAGCACCGGCUAACUUCGUGCCAGCAGCCGCGGUAAUACGAAGGGUGCAAGCGUUAAUCGGAAUUACUGGGCGUAAAGGGUGCGUAGGCGGUUAUUUAAGUCUGUUGUGAAAUCCCCGGGCUCAACCUGGGAAUGGCAAUGGAUACUGGGUAGCUAGAGUGUGUCAGAGGAUGGUGGAAUUCCCGGUGUAGCGGUGAAAUGCGUAGAGAUCGGGAGGAACAUCAGUGGCGAAGGCGGCCAUCUGGGACAAACUGACGCUGAAGCACGAAAGCGUGGGGAGCAAACAGGAUUAGAUACCCCUGUAGUC